GAGAGAGAAAGGGAGGGAACAUCAAUGGCUACCGCCUGUAGUAGCGAGGAGGACUGGCCUUCCUUGUGAGCUGGUGUGGUGAAACCUCCAAUGUCGAUCUCAGAAGGCGACAAAAUAAUAAUGCGUUUUCAGUUUCUAAACUCACUGAACAGUUAACUAACUAGUAAGGAUAUUUCACCUCACGAAACGACGUACUUUUCUCAACGGCAGCAACGAAGUCUUCAAAGUUGAUUGAAGUGUAGUCUCCUCUUCGACACGGCGACUCUAACCGUAAUUCUUCCGGAAAACAAUACAAGAAACCUCACUUACACUUCGACAUAAACUUGCAGUUAUUCAAACUAUAUUAACAUUUCCUUUCUGUUUACUUUCAAUAACGUGGGAGCUCUCCAGGCGCCGCCAUUUUCUUCCUUCUCGUCAUUUUCUGUGUUCCUCCCCGUCUCUCCCAGUCCCACCCCCUCCGUACUCCCGAUUGGGCAGUGCACCCACUUUGCAAAUCACUGAUUGGCUGGCCUAUUGCCCUGUCCUGUGGCGCUAUUGGGUGUUGAUUUUAAAGAGGAGAUUUCACUAAAGUCAUUGCAUAUAAAUAAACAUGUCCACACUCUAGGUGUACCACUACACAUAAAACAGUAUUGUCUGCCUUUGUGUCCCUACAAGACCUUUCUCGUCAAGAACACAUGGAAAGAAUGUUCUGCCCAAGAACAUAACAACAUUCUUGCAUUCUUUGUAUUGAGAGCAUACAUUGUUCAGCUGCUAAUUGGUUGAAUCAGGUGGGCCAAAUUUGGGUUGAAAUGAAAAUCUACAGGAUGGCAGAUCUCCAGGAACAGGGUUGGCCAACCCUGAUCUUGCAUAUUGCAUAAAAUAAAAAGGAGAAGCUUAUUUAUUUAACUAACAGUUGAUUUAAUUCUCACCUACUUGAAUUCCAGCCUCAACCAUUAGAGGAGCUGACUGUGGAACAGCUACCAGAUGAUAUGGAAAUCGAACCAGAUGAGCAAACCGAUGCCUUCACAGCCUACUUUGCUGAUGGCAACAAGCAACAAGACCGGGAACCUGUGUUUUCUGAGGAGCUUGGCAUAGCUAUUGAGAAGCUGAAAGAUGGCUUUACUCUUCAAGGACUCUGGGAAGUUAUGGGUUGUUAAUUUCAGAAUGCUUGCUUUCAUAGUAUUGACAUUGUAGCAUUGAUGGAGUAAUUUAAUGCUAGGGAGGUAUUGGACAGUAGAAAUAAACAUGUGAAAUAAACAACUGUGUUCUUAAACUUUAUGGUUAGAUUAAUGUAAGUAAUAACAACAAUACAAAUUAUAAUAAUAAUAAUCAAAAUAUAAUAUUUAAUAUUAUUAAGGAGUAACCUGGUGGUUGGUCACACGUUCAAGGUUUUUAUUUGCAAUUUGCACAAGAGGGCAUUGGAAAAUGGAAUGGAAUGCUCUGAGUGAUAGUACGACCUAUGUACGUCCUAGACUCAUGUUACAGAGUGGAGUAAUUGUAGAUGCAAUGAGAUAAGAAAAUCCAUCCGUCCAUCCAUUAUCUUAACCCGCUUAUCCUGAACAGGGUCGCAGGGGGGCUGGAGCCUAUCCCAGCAUUCAUUGGGCGAAAGGCAGGAAUACAGCCUGGACAGGUAGCCUGUCCAUCGCAGGGCACACACACUCAUUCACUUAUUCACUCACACACUCACACACUCACACACUCACACACUCAUACCCACGGGCAAUUUAGACUCUCCAAUCAGCCUAACCUGCAUGUCUUUGGACUGUGGGAGGAAACCGGAGUACCCAGAGGAAAUCCACACGACCACGGGGAGAACAUGCAAACUCCACACAGAGAGAUCCCGGCAGACCGGGAUUCGAACCCAGGACCUCCUUGCUGUGAGGCGGCAGUGCUACCCUCUGCACCAUCCAUGCCGCCGACAUAAGAAAAUGGAAAGACAAAACAGGAUUAUGAGACUGAAUUUCAACCUCAUCAAUGUCUACACCAAAGCUUAAUACCAAGUCUAAUGUAUGAAAUGUAAAGCCAGCUUGAUUCGUUAAACUCACCUAAUAUCACCACUUUGUCAUAGCUUAUAACUAAGUGAGAGAGAAAUUCUGAAAAUUCAUGAAUAAAGCCAGAGUAAGGGCCAGGAGGUCUGUAAACUGUCACCAGGGCAGUAGGCUGGGAAAAAAGGUGGGCACCACCAGUAUCUUGCUGGGAGAGAUAAUGACUAAUACUUCAAAUGAAUCAAAUUCAGGUUUUGGGAUUGGAUGAAUGAAGUGAUUUCACAUAACAGCCCCCUCAUUGACAGAGACCGGGGUUUUGAGUAUACACUCAGUGGGCACCUCAUUAGGUAUUUAUUAGACUUUUUUACUCUUAUUAAGUCUUCUGCUGCUGUAGCCUAUCUACUUAGAAGUUUGAUUUGGUUUGUGUUUAGAGAUGCUCUUUUGCUUACAACUGUUGUAAUAUGUCGUUAUUUUCGUUACUGCCACCUUCCUGUCAGCUUCACCAGUCUGGCCCUUCUCCUCUGAUCCCAUUCUGAAAUUUGGUCUGAAAAACAGCUGCACCUCUUGACCAUGUCUACAUGCUUUUAUGCAUUUAUUUGGUGCCAGAUGAUAUUUGCAUUAACAAGCUGGUGUACAGGUCUACCUAAUAAAGUGAUCACUGAGUAUAUAUGAAACCAGGUGGAGACGAUUCAUUUAAAGUUAAAUUCUUGUCUGUUUUCAGCCAGGUUUCAGUGAGACAUACAGACGUGGUCAAAUUUGUUGGUACCCUUACAGCUCAUUGAAAUAAUGCUUCAUUCCUCCUGAAAAGUGAUUCUAUUAAAAGUUAUUUUUUCAUGUAUACUUGCAUGCCUUGGGUUUGUCAUUGAAUAAAGCUGUGAAAAGAGUUGAAUUAUUGCUUAUUCUACUAUUCUACCCAAAUAUUCUAAAAUGGCCUGGACAUUUGUUGGUACCCCUUAGACAAGAUCAUAAAUAAUUGGAUUAUAGUGAUAUUUCAAACUAAUUUGUUCAUUUAAUUAGUAUCACACGUCUGCAAUCUUGUAAUCUGUCAUUCAGCCUAUUUAAAUGGAGAAAAGUAGUCACUGUGCUGUUUGGUGUCAUUGUGUGCACCAUACUGAACAUGGACCAGAGAAAGCAAAGGAGAAAGUUGUCUGAGGAGAAAAGAAAAAAAAAAUCGACAAGCAUGGUAAAGGUAAAGACUAUCUCCAAGCAGCUUGAUGUUCCUGUGACAACAGUUGCAAAUAUUAAGAAGUUUAAGGUCCAUGGAACUGUAACCAACCUCCCUGCGUGGCCGCAAAAGGAUAAUUGCCCCCAGAUCGAACAGAAGGAUAGUGUGAAUGGUAGAAAAAGAACCAAGAACCAACUGCCAAAGAGAUACCUUCACCUUGGAGUUACGCUUGUAUGUCAGUUUCUAAGUUUAUAAGAAGAAAACAUUGGACUAUUCUGAAGUGGCCUUCUAUGAGUCCUGAUCUAAAUCGUAUCGAAAAUCUAUGAAAAGAACUGAAACUUGCAGUCUGGAGAAUACCUGUUAACAGGCUCAGAAGUCUCAUUGAGAGUUACAGAAAGCGUUUGAUUGCAGAGUUAAGGGUCCCAUCAUUUUUGUCCAUGCCAAUUUCAUUUGUUUUAUUAUUUACAAUAUUAUGUUGAAUUAAAAAUCGAAAGCAAAGUCUGAUUUCUAUUAAAUAUGGAAUAAACAAUGGUGGAUGCCAAUUACUUCUGUAAGUUUCAAGUUAUUUCAGAGAAAAUUGUGCAUUCCUCAAUUUCUUGUGGAAGGGUACCAACAAAUUUAAUAAAUCAAGACAAUAAUCUGAGAUUAGUUCAUUCACAAGAGCUGCUUUAGAGUAAUUUGAUUUAGUAAUCUAAAUUUGAGAGAAGUAUUACUAGCCUAGCAAUAAUUAAGGCUGUGUAUUUGUCACAGAAAAAAUUUAGAAUAUUUUUUAAAAAUUAACCAAUAUCUCACGCAAAGCAGUGGGAAAUGAUUGAAAUAACAUGCUCAACCAUAUUGACAGUAAAAGUGUUUGAAGUUUCAAAGAAUCAUUGCCUCUAGUAAAAAAAUAUGUGUAGGCUGAAUGCAUUGAUAUGCUGUCUUUCAUGGAAAUACAUGCUAUUUGCUUUUAGCAGAACAUUGUUCGAAACAGAGCAUGAAAUAAUAAUAAUAAAAUAAUCUGAAUCUGAAAAAUCGAACAAUAUCAAGAUGAAAAAAAGGUUAACUGAUUUUUAAGAGAUGUCAAACACUGAAUGGGGUCAAAUUGAUCCAAAAUAUAAUGGGAGGGUCAAUCUGCUUCAUUCAUAAAAUGUGGUACGUAGCGUUACAGACUCGCUAAUUACCUGGCUCAUUAUCUAAUAUGUGUGUAUGAGAAAUAGGACUGUAACCUGCUGUUAGUGCCAUGUACAGAGAAAAAAUCUUAACAAAAUUAAAACUGGCACCGGAUGACCCACUGAAGGGAUAGAGCUUGCCUGUUACCUUUGGGCUAUGACUCUAGGCAUCGGUCUAGUCCAACUCCACCUUCCCUGCAUCAGCAGCCAAUUCUUUGUUCACAUUAAGGUUUUUUAUAGUUUCAUUUUUUCCCAUAACCAGUGUGUGGAGGCAACCUGCAGUGAAGGAAACAAAAGUCCUUCAAAAAAAGUUAAUGGCAUUGAUGUCCUUUGCGGUGUGUUUUAUAGUGUUUUAUUCCUUUUGUUCCACAGAUAAGCAUAUACACUCACCGAGCACUUUAUUCGGAACAUUUUUACUUAAUUGCAUGAAUAUGUAGGUAUAAUAAUCAGCCAAUUGUGUGGAAGCUGUGCAAUGCAUACAAUUAUGUAGAUACGGGUCAGGAGCUUCAGUUAAUGUUCACAUCAACCAACAGAAUGGGGAAAAAUGUGAUCUAAGUGACUUUGACCGUGGAAUGAUUGUUUGUGGCAGACAGGCUAGGCUGGUUUGUGUAUCUCAGAAAUUGGAUUGAGGAAUGGUGAAUAGGGUGGGUGGAACAGCAUUGCAAUCCUUUGAAGGGAAGGGUAUUUUCACACUAAUAGAGAUUGUUGGUGGCAGACAGGGUGGUUUGAGUAUCUCAGAAAUUGCUGAUCUUGGGGGUCAUGCAUGAAAACCUGUGGGGCGAUAAGUCUGAAGACGGAAGAUGAAAUUUAUGCUAACGUAGAUAUAUUGUCAAAAUAUGCUUGGAUUUGUCUUCUAAAGACCAAGAGUGGUACCAUGGUGACUAGGGUUUCCAAAAGCUGAUGAAGCAUCACAACAUAACACAUUUUGCCACUGGUAACGAUGUGAAAGUUUCAGGGGUUGAACGGGUUAACUGGGCCCUAAAAACAAGAAUGCGGCGUUACUUUGCAGUGCAUAACACACUAUGCUAUAUAGACAAUGUACAAGAUAUGGUCCGGUCAAACAAUAACAGCUAUCACGGUACAAUUAAAAUGAAGCCUGCAGAAGUAAAUGAUACUAACGCUUUUAAAGUGUUUAAAAAUAUGUACAGGCUCUUUCCAAAAAGACCUAAAAAGCUAAAGUUUAAGUUUGAGGAGGGUGAUACAGUUCGAGUUUCCACAUUGUGUGGGAAGUUUGCAAAAGGCUAUAAGCAAACCUAUACAGACAAAUAUUUCACAGUUGCUGAAUGGGUCCACAGAAUUCCAUUUAUAUAAAUUGAGGGAUUAUGAUGGUGAAAACAUUGAUGGAACAUUUUAUGAGGAUCCUCAUUUAAUGCCAUUAAAUGAGGAGGAAUUAUAGAAGGUUACAGUGGAUAAAGACAGGACAUUUAAGGUUGAAAAUAGUUGCGGAGAAGAAGCAGAGGUUGAAAGGGCUGGUUUUGGUCAAGUAGGUAGGUUGGCUGGAGAAGUUCAAUAGUUGGGUAGCAGCAAGUCACGUGGUUGAAAUUGUCUUAAUUGAUUCUUAAUUUAUCCUCAAUGCGUGUUAACAUAAAGACAAUCACGAUUACAAAUAACAUUUUUGUGUAAAUCCUUAUUACUAUUAGACCAAUUUCUGAAUUAAGUGCUUACGAGGAGUGUUUAUCUGUCUCUCUCCCAGCAGACAUACAAACUUUGACAUUAAUGGCUUCUCCUGAAAGGGGGUAGCUAGCACAUUCUGGUCUUACAGCAAGGUCAACAAGGGGUACUCAGAAGACAAAAUACUGAUCAAUGUUCGUGGCCAGCUUUAUGUCUUUUUGUUUUGGUAAAGCCCCCCCUCCUGGAAAAGUGUAUAAGAGGCUUACUAUGUCUGAUUCAAAUCAGAAAGCCUCACUUUCUGUUAUUUAUUUGCAAAUAAAUAUGAAAGUUAAACUCAA